CGGGACGGGUGAGUAAUGUCUGGGAAACUGCCUGAUGGAGGGGGAUAACUACUGGAAACGGUAGCUAAUACCGCAUAACGUCGCAAGACCAAAGAGGGGGACCUUCGGGCCUCUUGCCAUCGGAUGUGCCCAGAUGGGAUUAGCUAGUAGGUGGGGUAACGGCUCACCUAGACGACGAUCCCUAGCUGGUCUGAGAGGAUGGCCAGCCACACUGGAACUGAGACACGGUCCAG
rnacentral:rRNA from 1 species